GUUAGGAACAGCUGGAAGGAACCAACUGCCAAUCCUCAACUGGCACAGAAAUUUCUGGAACUCCUUCCUCCAACAUUCUGUCCUGUUGAAGACUAAUAAUCAAAAAUGUCCCACAUAUUUCUGAAAUAACUCCAAAGAUAAAAGAUUCUUCAGAUGUCACACAGAGAGGUACCUACUUACACAGUGGAGAUUAUACCAAAGACUCAUAAAUGAAAAAAAAAUACCUCAACAACUAGAAUAAGUCUUCAAAUGGAAGCUCUGUCACCUGGUUCAAAAUGAGAUUGCAGAGGUCACUUAACAUAUUCUUGUCUGAUGAAGUGUUCUUACGGUGUGCUGGUUUACAUAUGGCUUCCCAUCCAGAGGCUGCUGGGUGAUCGAAUAGUCAAACAUGCUCAUCUUUAUUAUCAACAUUUAUUGAACAUCCAUAGGAACAUAUGGC